rnacentral:rRNA from 1 species
AUUGAACGCUGGCGGCAUGCCUUACACAUGCAAGUCGAACGGCAGCAUGGGUGCUUGCACCUGAUGGCGAGUGGCGAACGGGUGAGUAAUGCAUCGGAACGUACCCGGAAGUGGGGGAUAACGUAGCGAAAGUUACGCUAAUACCGCAUAUUCUGUGAGCAGGAAAGAGGGGGAUCGCAAGACCUCUCGCUUUCGGAGCGGCCGAUGUCGGAUUAGCUAGUUGGCGGGGUAAAGGCCCACCAAGGCAACGAUCCGUAGCGGGUCUGAGAGGAUGAUCCGCCACACUGGGACUGGGACACGGCCCGGACUCCUACGGGAGGCAGCAGUGGGGAAUUUUGGACAAUGGGGGCAACCCUGAUCCAGCCAUGCCGCGAGAGUGAAGAAGGCCUUCGGGUUGUAAAGCUCUUUCGGCUGGGAAGAAAUCGCAUCUCCUAAUACGGGGUGUGGAUGACGGUACCAGCAUAAGAAGCACCGGCUAACUACGUGCCAGCCGCCGCGGUAA